rnacentral:rRNA from 1 species
UACUAGAGUAGCACUCGCAUAUCAAUAAGCGGAGGAAAAGAAACUAACAAGGAUUCCCCUAGUAACGGCGAGUGAAGCGGGAAGAGCUCAAAUUUGAAAUCUUAAAGGGUUUCCCUUUACGAAUUGUAGUUUAAAGAAGUGUUUUCUGUUGAGGUUUUGGUAAAAGUUCUUUGGAAUAGGACAUCAUAGAGGGUGAGAAUCCCGUAUUUGACCUUUACUUUCAACUUUGUGAUACACUUUCAAAGAGUCGGAUUGUUUGGGAAUGCAGUCCAAAAUGGGUGGUAAAUUUCAUCUAAAGCUAAAUAUUGGCGAGAGACCGAUAGCGAACAAGUACCGUGAGGGAAAGAUGAAAAGAACUUUGAAAAGAGAGUUAAACAGUACGUGAAAUUGUCAAAAGGGAAGCGUUUGACACCAGUGUUGUUUUUCUGAAAAUCGAUUAAAGAACUGUUUAUGCUAAGUUGUUUAGACUUUAUCAGCUGACUGUUUAGUUUUGAGCUUUUCUUUAAUGCACUUUUCAGUUAACAAGUCAACAUCAAUUUCUUUUGCUGUAAAAAAGCUUGAGGAAGGUGGCUUGAGAUUCGUCUUAAGUGUUUAUAGCCUCUUGCCUAUGCAGUCGGAGAGAUUGAGGUCUGCAGCGUAGAUCCUUCGGGGCUAAAUGCAUUUGUGCUAAGUUAUAGCAUUUUAUAGACAACUUGUUGACUAUGAUUUGUCUUGUAGCUUACUCGCUUAUGUUAUUUUACCUACGCUUAGGAUGUUGAGCGCAUGUCUCUCUCU